UCGAGACCGAAUAUCGAGCGAUUCAGAGAACCCGUGUAAUAAACGGCGACGGUCGUUGCUGUGAAACAACCGUCUCAGUCGUCCCCUCGCCUCCUUCGGAGAGGGGGGGGGGGGGGUCCACGAUGAUGGAUGGUUGAAACCCCAAACCGGCGCAAAUUCGCGCCAAGGGAACUAUUGAAAAGCACAAGCCCUUGCAUCGGGGCUCUGUGGUGUGGAGCGGUGCUGUGUACCGCACCUAUUGACACGACUCUCGGCAAUGGAUAUCUCGGCUCUCGCAUCGAUGAAGAGCGCAGCGAAAUGCGAUACGUGGUGCGAAUUGCAGAAUCCCGCGAACCAUCGAGUCUUUGAACGCAAGUUGCGCCCGAGGCCAACCGGCCGAGGGCACGUCCGCCUGGGCGUCAAACGUUACGUCGCUCCGCGUCGAGUCCCAUCCCACGAGUGGGGGUGGCGACGAAGGCUCGGAUGUGCAGAGUGGCCCUUCGUGCCCAUCGGUGCGGCGGGUUGAAGAGCGGGUUAUCGUCUCGAUGGCCACGAACAACGAGGGGUGGAUAAAAGCUAUAGGCAAGGCCUGCGUUGUCUCGUGAUGGCCCGAGAGAAGAUUAUACCCUUAGUGUGAUCCCAUCCAUGCACCGACCCACAUGCGGCUGCU
rnacentral:misc_RNA from 1 species